GAGUUAAACUCGGCAGGGUGAUGUACUGAAUGGUACGUCAAAGGAAUUGGGUGUGAGUCCCAAGCUGUGCCGCAACCGUGAGGUACGUUCAGCUUACAUGAACGUACUAGAGCCGGAAAACUAGCAAUCUUGUCCUGAGUGGU
rfam:Microgenomates bacterium GW2011_GWC1_38_12 TS72_C0004, whole genome shotgun sequence.